rnacentral:rRNA from 1 species
CUCCGGGUGAUCCUGCCGGACCCGACUGCUAUCAGAGUGGGACUAAGCCAUGCGAGUCAACGUAGCAAUACGUGGCAUACGGCUCAGUAACACGUAGUCAACAUGCCCAGGGGACGAGGAUAACCUCGGGAAACUGAGGAUAAACCUCGAUAGGCCAUGAUUUCUGGAAUGAUUCUUGGCUCAAACCUAUAUGGCCCCUGGAUUGGACUGCGGCCGAUCAGGCUGUUGGUGAGGUAAUGGCCCACCAAACCUAUUACCGGUACGGGCUCUGAGAGGAGGAGCCCGGAGAUGGGCACUGAGACAAGGGCCCAGGCCCUAUGGGGCGCAGCAGGCGCGAAACCUCUGCAAUAGGCGAAAGCUUGACAGGGUUACUCUGAGUGAUUUCCGCUAAGGGAAUCUUUUGGCACCUCUAAAAAUGGUGCAGAAUAAGGGGUGGGCAAGUCUGGUGUCAGCCGCCGCGGUAAUACCAGCACCCCGAGUGGUCGGGACGAUUAUUGGGCCUAAAGCAUCCGUAGCCGGUCCUGCAAGUCUUCCGUUAAAUCCAGCUGCUCAACAGAUGGGCUGCGGGAGAUACUACAGGGCUAGGAGGCGGGAGAGGCAAGCGGUACUUUAUGGGUAGGGGUAAAAUCCGCUGAUCCAUAGAAGACCACCAGUGGCGAAGGCGGCUUGCCAGAACGCGCUCGACGGUGAGGGAUGAAAGCUGGGGGAGCAAACCGGAUUAGAUACCCGGGUAGUCCCAGCUGUAAACGAUGCAGACUCGGUGAUGGGUUGGCCUCGCGCCUGCCCAGUGCCGCAGGGAAGCCGUUAAGUCUGCCGCCUGGGGAGUACGGUCGCAAGACUGAAACUUAAAGGAAUUGGCGGGGGAGCA